ensembl:lncRNA
UUCGGAGUGAAGUGCAUGAUUGCCAAAAUCAACCUACGCUUCUUCUGACAGGGAAUUGUCAAGGAGGUGCACAGUUGGGUCAGUACCUGUUUAGUCUGCCAGAAGUUUGAGAGGGUGAAGACUGUGGCGCUGGAGUUGCAGCCCAUCAAAGUUGUUUCACCAUGUCAUAUGAUCAGGGUGGACCUCAUCGGACUCUUCACCAAAUCCAGGAAUGGCAACAGCUGGUGUCUGACGGCAACCGAUCACUUUACCAAGUGGGUGGAGGCAAUACCCAUUAAGGUCGGUAAAGGAAGACAUCCGGGCUAAUUACUUGGUUUGGAAGAAGG